CCCGCACUUGGGGAGUUUUACCCUAUCUCAUUUCUUCUAGCUAACGUCCAAUUUAAUAAGGAGCCAGCCAUGGUGAUUUGGCGCCUUCGUUGUAUGUCAAGCACGUGGAAAUAUGCAUGGCUCGCGUUUGUUUGUCCUUUAGCUUUCAAGGUAACUUCCUGGUCUUGAAAAGCAAAGCGCCCUUUCAAUAAGGUGCAUUAACCUGUACCUGUUGGA
rnacentral:lncRNA from 1 species